CCCUUAGAUGUCCUGGGCCGCACGCGUGCUACACUGAUGCAUACAGCGAGUACUUUCCGGCUCCGCGAGGCAGCUGGUAAUCAGCAAUAUGCAUCGUGCUGGGGAUAGAUCUUUGGAAUUAUAGAUCUUGAACGAGGAAUUCCUAGUAAGCGCAAGUCAUUAGCUUGCGCUGAUUAAGUCCCUGCCCUUUGUACACACCGCCCGUCGCUCCUACCGAUUUCGAGUGAUUCGGUGAACCUUUUGGACAGCGUCUGUCCUCGUGUCAGAUGCUGAAAGUCAAGUAAACCAUAUCACUUAGAGGAAGGAGAAGUCGUAACA
rnacentral:rRNA from 1 species